UACGUAGGGGCGUAGCGUUGUCCGGAAUUAUUGGGCGUAAAGAGCGUGUAGGCGGUUCGAUAAGUCUGCUGUAAAAGUCGGGGGCUCAACCCUCGAAGGCCGGUGGAUACUGUCGAGCUAGAGUACGGAAGAGGCGAGUGGAAUUCCUGGUGUAGCGGUGAAAAUGCGCAGAUAUCAGGAGGAACACCAAUUGCGAAGGCAGCUCGCUGGGACGUAACUGACGCUGAGACGCGAAAGCGUGGGGGAGCAAAACAGG
rnacentral:rRNA from 1 species